rnacentral:sRNA from 1 species
AAUUAGACCUGAUUGCAGCGGAAAUACUUUUUGCCCGUGUCAUCCUGAGCUUGUCGAAGGAUACUUGCUAUUGUGUAGAUGCUUCGAUAAACUCAGCAGGACAACGAUGAAAGGCAGAGCGAGCAAAAAGAUUAUAGCGGAAAGCAGGACUGCAG